rnacentral:rRNA from 1 species
AGAGUUUGAUCAUGGCUCAGAACGAACGCUGGUGGCGUGCCUUAAGCAUGCAAGUUGAACGAAAGCUGAUCCUUCGGGAUCAAAUUUAGUAGCGAACGGGUGAGUAACACGUAGUUAGUUGCCUCAAAGUCAGAGAUAGCCAUGGGAAACCAUGGGUAAUACCUGAUGUGCUCUACGGAGUAAAGCAGCAAUGCGCUUUGAGAGAUGACUGCGGCCCAUCAGAUAGUUGGCAGGGUAAUGGCCUACCAAGUCUAUGACGGGUAACCGGCCUGAGAGGGUGAACGGUCACAUUGGAACUGAGACACGGUCCAGACUCCUACGGGAGGCAGCAGCUAGGAAUAUUCCGCAAUGGACGAAAGUCUGACGGAGCGACGCCAUGUGAGGGAUGAAGGCUUUUCGGAGUUGUAAACCUCUUUUCUGUAAGAAGAGUAAGGACGGUAUUACAGGAAUAAGUCCCGGCUAACUACGUGCCAGCAGCCGCGGUAAUACGUAGGGGGCGAGCGUUGUUCGGAAUCACUGGGCAUAAAGGGUGCGUAGGCGGAACAUCAAGCUAGAGGUGAAAUCUUGUGGCCUAACCACAAAAAUUGCCUUUAGAACUGUUGUUCUGGAAUACAGGAAGGGGUGAGCAGAAUUCCCGGGUGUAGGGGGUGAAAUCUAUA